UAUUAAAAAAUUUAUUCAUUAUUACUGUUAAAAAUUGACAUAACUGACAGAAUAAUCAAAUAGUAACUUGUGGCAUGCCACAUGAACCUCUUGCUGACAUGCAAAGACUAGUUUUUAAUAGUAGAAAUAAAUGGCAUUUUUAAUA
rfam:Gossypium raimondii Chr07_contig_1433, whole genome shotgun sequence.